rnacentral:rRNA from 1 species
GACGAACGCUGGCGGCGUGCCUAAUACAUGCAAGUUGAGCGCUGAAGGUUGGUACUUGUACCAACUGGAUGAGCAGCGAACGGGUGAGUAACGCGUGGGGAAUGUGCCUUUGAGCGGGGGACAACAUUUGGAAACGAAUGCUAAUACCGCAUAAAAACUUUAAACACAAGUAUUAAGCUUGAAAGAUGCAAUUGCAUCACUCAAAGAUGAUCCCGCGUUGUAUUAACUAGUUGGUGAGGUAAAGGCUCACCAAGGCGAUGAUACAUAGCCGACCUGAGAGGGUGAUCGGCCACAUUGGGACUGAGACACGGCCCAAACUCCUACGGGAGGCAGCAGUAGGGAAUCUUCGGCAAUGGACGAAAGUCUGACCGAGCAACGCCGCGUGAGUGAAGAAGGUUUUCGGAUCGUAAAACUCUGUUGGUAGAGAAGAACGUUGGUGAGAGUGGAAAGCUCAUCAAGUGACGGUAACUACCCAGAAAGGGACGGCUAACUACGUGCCAGCAGCCGCUGUAAAAC